rnacentral:lncRNA from 10 species
UCUUUACUGCUGUCUUUGGGUUCCGUCUCAAAUCAUCUCCUGUUGUAAUUGCACAACUCAUACAAUGGAAAGCUUCUAUAGAACUGCCAGGAAUGUCUGUACAUCUUUUCAAGUGUAAAUUAAAAAAAAAAAACUUGAUUCAAGGCUAUUACAGUUGCAGUACAGUUUGGUGAAGUCUUGACCAAUAUAUACACCUGAGCAACCAUCAUCACAAUCAAGACAAGUGCAUCCAUCACUGCUGAGUGUCCGCACUCCCCUCGGCACUCUCCCUCCUACCUCCCUGUGCAGCCCCAGCCCCAUGUCUGAGCAAUCCCUGAUCUGCUUCCUGCUGCUCUGUCACUGGAGUCUAGUUUGCAUUGUCUACAAUUUUAUGUAAAUGGAACCAUAUAGUAUUGUGCUUCUUUUGCCUAUGUUCUUUCACACAGUAUAAUUAUUUCAAGAUUAUUGCAAGUUGUGGCAUGCAUUACUAGGUCAUUCUUCUUUAUGGCUGACUAGUGUUUUAUUGCAUGAAUACACCUGUUUAUUUGUCCCUUCUCCUGUUGGCGGGCAUUUGAGUUAUUUCCAAGUUUUGUUCAUUACAAAUGAGGCUAGCAUUAAUAAUAGUGCAUUAAUCUUUAUAUGCUUUCAGCUCUCGUGGGUAAAUAUUAGGAGUGGAAGGGCUGAAUCACAUGGAAGUUGUAUAAACCUUUCAAGAAACUUCCACAUUUGUUUCCAAAGGGCUUGCGCCUUUUUAUAUUUCUACUGUUGCCAGUAGGCCAGUUCAGAUUCUUUUUUUUAAUUUAAUUUAAGUUCCAGGAUACAUGUGCAGGACGUGCAGGUUUGUUACAUAGGAAAAUGUGUGCCACGGUGGUUUGCUGCACCUGUCAACCCAUCACCUAGGUAUUAAGCCCAGCAUGCAUUAGCUAUGUAUCCUAAUGCUCUUCCUCCCCCUGCACCCUCAACAAGCCCCAGUGUAUGUUGUUCCCCUCCCUGUGUCCAUGUGUUCUCAUUGUUGAACUCCCACUUACAUGUGAGUUACAUGGGGUAUUUGAUUUUCUGUUCCUGUGUUAGUUUGCUGAGGGUAAUGGCUUCCAGAUUCAUUCAUGUCCCUGCAGAGGCCAUGAUCUCAUUCCUUUUUAUUGCUACAUAAUAUUCCAUGGUGUAUAUGUACCACAUUUUCUUUAUACAGUCUAUCAUUGAUGGGCAUUUGGGUUGAUUCCAUGUCUUUGCUAUUGUGAAUAGUGCUUCAAUGAACAUACGAGUGCAUAUAUCUUUAUAAUAGAAUGAUUUAUAUUUCUUUGGGUAUAUACUCAGUAACAGAAUUGCUGGGCCGAAUGGUAUUUCUGCCUCUAGGUCUCUGAGAAAUCACCACACUGUCUUCUACAAUGGCUGAACUAAUUCACAUUCCCACCAACAGUGUAAAAGCGUUCCUAUUUCUCCACAGCCCCUCCAACAUCUGUUGUUUCUUGACUUUUUAAUAAUAGCCAUUCUGAAUGGUGUGAGAUGUUGUUUUGCUUUGUAUUUCUCUAAGGAUCAGUGAUGUUGAGCUUUUUUUUCAUAUGUUUGUUGGCUGGAUGUACAUCUUCUUUUGAGAAGUGUCUGUUCAUGUCCUCUGCCAAAUUUUAAUAGGGUUAUUUGUUUAUUUCUUGUAAAUCUGUUUAAGUUCCUUGUAGAUUCUGGAUAUUAGACCUUUGUCAGAUGGAUAGAUUGCAAAAAUCUUCUCCCAUUCUGUAGGUUGCCUGUUCACUCCGAUGACAGUUUCUUUUGCUGUGCAGAAGCUCUUUAGUUUAAUUAGAUCCCAUUUGUCAAUUUUGGCUUUUGUUGCAAUUGCUUUUGGUGUUUUUGUCAUGAAAUCUUUGCCCGUGCCUAUGUCCUGAAUGGUAUUUUCUAGAUUUUCUUCUAGGGUUUUUAUAGUUUUGGAUUUUACAUUUAAGUCUUUAAUCCAUUUUGAGUUAAUUUUUGCAUAAGGUGUAAAGAAGGGGUCCAGUUUCAAUUUUCGGCAUAUGGCUAACUUGUUUUCCCAGUGACUUUGCCACACAAAAUAAUUUUAGAGCAAGUCCAAAGUAAGAGUAAGCCAAUAAAUUUAUUACAAAGCAAAUGUACAUGCUGAGAGACAGAGCAGGCUGCUUAAGGUGAGAGACAGCAGCUAGUGCCUUAAGAGGAAUUCUUUUUAUGGGAGCUGUUCAUAUAUAUUCAAAAAAUUCCUGUGAGGUACAAAGUGUGCAAAGUAUUCAAAGGUAGACGUGAGGUUGGUGCAUGUGCUCAGUAACUACAAACUCUAAGAUGCAUCACACGUAUCAUUAGCAUUGAAAAUCCCUACCUAUGGGUGUGCUUUUUACUGCUAAGAUGAGGAAAAGUUUACUAUAAGCUAAACCUUGAGCCUAGCUGCACAUGUGGGACCCAGAGAAGUCCCUGCCCCCACCCUCCUCCCAGGUAGGAAUUUGUAGCAAAAAGUUCCUUGAGCUUUUUGUGCUGAUUGGCUAGAGAGUGGGGAAGCUAAAUCAGAAAUAAGGGAUUUUUGUUCUCUUUCUUGGGCCCUUAUUGGAUAUCAGGAAUGUGCAACCAUCUGGCAGUUGACUGGUGUCCUGUAGGCUGCUUACCUGGUGUCGUGUAGGGCUGCUUACCUGGUGUCCUUCAGGGCUGCAUACCUGGUGUCCUGCAGGGCUGUGUACCUGGUGUCCUGCAGGGCUGUGUACUUAGUGUCUCACAGGGCUGCUUACCUGGUGUCCUGCAGGGCUGCUUACAUUGCAAAACAGUUAGAUGCUGACACACCAUGAGGGUGCAAGUGCAAGGAGCCAGCUGCAUGUGAAAGGGGCCCAAGGGGCUUCAUGCAAGGGGACAAGUCAGUAUGGCCUCCCAACCUCACUCAUCCUGCCUCACUAACAGCAGUGAGAAAGAGUUCCAGUUGUUCCAUAUCCUCACAUGCACUUGGUGUGGCCAGUCUUUUUAACUUCUAGCCAUUCUAAUAUAAGUAAAAAUGGUAUCUCAUUGUGAUUUUAAUUUGCAUUGUCUUAAUGACUAAUGAUGUUGAACAAUUUUUUGUGUGUUUAUUUACCUACAUAUAUAAUUUUUAUGAAAGUGUCUGUUAAAUAUCUGAAGAAGAAAAUAUCUCCCAACUUACUGUAUGAGGCCAAUAUUACCCAGAUAACCAAGUAAUGUUCAUUUCCAGGAAUGCAAACCUUGUUUGUCAUCAAUCAUGUUAAGCAACUAGCAAAGAAAGAAUACAUGAUAAUCCCAACAGAUAUAGAAAACCUAUUUGGCAAAAUCCAACAUGUAUUCCUGAUUUAAAAAAAAAUCUUUCAGUGAAUUAGGAAUAAAGGGAAGUUUCUUUACUUGAAAAAAUACAUCUAUGUAUGUAUGUAUAUGUGUAUAUAUGUAUGUAUGUUUGUAUGUAUGUAUCUAUCUAUCUAUCUACCUACAGAUAGCAUCAUGCCUAAUGGAAGAAAAAGGCUGAAUAUUUUCCCCCUAAACUGAGGAACAAGACUGGGGUGUCCUCUUCUGCCAUUUGUAUUCGACCUUGUACUGAAGGUUCUAAAACCGUGCAGUAAGGCAAGAAAAAUGAAUAAAAUGCAUUGUGAUUAGAAAGGGAAGAGUACAAUGUCUUUAUUCAUGAACGUCAUGUCUACGUAAAACAUUAGGUGGAAUGUACCAGAAAUCUUUAUUUAUUUUAUUUUAUUUAUUUAAUUUUUGAGACAGAAUCUCACUUGUCACCCAGGCUGGAGUGCAGUGGCACGAUAGCUACUUACUGCAACCUGUGCCUCCCAGGUUCAAGCGAUUCUC